UACGUAGGGCGCAAGCGUUAUCCGGAAUUAUUGGGCGUAAAGAGCUCGUAGGCGGUUUGUCGCGUCUGCCGUGAAAGUCCGGGGCUCAACUCCGGAUCUGCGGUGGGUACGGGCAGACUAGAGUGAUGUAGGGGAGACUGGAAUUCCUGGUGUAGCGAUGAAAUGCGCAGAUAUCAGGAGGAACACCGAUGGCGAAGGCAGGUCUCUGGGCAUUAACUGACGCUGAGGAGCGAAAAGCAUGGGGGAGCGAACAGG
rnacentral:rRNA from 1 species